rnacentral:rRNA from 1 species
CCUACGGGUGGCAGCAGUGAGGAAUAUUGGUCAAUGGACGAGAGUCUGAACCAGCCAAGUAGCGUGAAGGAUGACUGCCCUAUGGGUUGUAAACUUCUUUUAUAUGGGACUAAAAUGUUCCACGUGUGGGAUUUUGUAUGUACCUUAUGAAUAAGGAUCGGCUAACUCCGUGCCAGCAGCCGCGGUAAUACGGAGGAUCCGAGCGUUAUCCGGAUUUAUUGGGUUUAAAGGGAGCGUAGGUGGGUUGUUAAGUCAGUUGGGAAAGUUUGCGGCUCAAGCGUAAAAUUGCAAUUGAUACUGGCAGUCUUGAGUACAGUAGAGGUGGGCGGAAUUCGUGGUGUAGCGGUGAAAUGCUUAGAUAUCACGAAGAACGCCGAUUGCGAAGGCAGCUCACUAAACUGCGACUGACACUGAUGCUCGAAAGUGUGGGUAUCAAACAGGAUUAGAUACCCUAGUAGUC